rnacentral:rRNA from 1 species
UACAGAGGGUGCAAGCGUUAAUCGGAAUUAUUGGGCGUAAAGGGCUUGUAGGUUGUUAUUUAAGUUAGAUGUGAAAUCCCUGGGCUUAACCUGGGACGUGCAUAUAAGACUGGAUGACUAGAGUAUGGUAGAGGAGAGGGGAAUUCCUGGUGUAGCAGUGAAAUGCGUAGAGAUCAGGAGGAACAUCAGUGGCGAAGGCGCCUCUCUGGACUAAUACUGACACUGAGGAGCGAAGGCGUGGGGAUCAAACAGG